ACUGACUUUUUUGUUGUUCUCUGGGUGCAUUCUUCUCGCUCCCCCUCUCUCUCCCCCUCACUCUCUCUCUCCUCUCUCUCUCCCUCUCCCUCUCUCUCUCUUUUAAAAAAUCAGCCAUUUGGGGUUUUAAGCCAUAAACGAUUUUUCUUGUUGCAGGGGAUUGCAGUGGCAAAGCUAGGCUAGGUCUUGGAGGCUGGUGUAAGGCGAAGCGGUUGAAGGCAGGAGGCUGAUGGAGAGACUGGGGGGAAGAAAAGCCGAAAUGGAUUCACGGUGCUUUGGAUGGAGGAUGAGAGGGGAAUUGCAAGCUCCUUCAACUCGUUCUGUCCGGUGAGAAGUGAUCAAGCUUGGGCUGACAAGAGGCUCAGGGAGCCCUCACGUUCUUUCGCUUUUUUACCUGCCAAUCAAACUGCUACAAGACAACACCCUGAUCUGACAUGGACAUCGCGGGUCCAAGCCUGUAGCCCCAAAUCGGAUAAUCUCUGCAGCUGAUAACAAGCAAAAGAGAAGCCAGGCAACAGCCAUAUUAAAGAAGAAAACAAUCAACUCUGAGGAUACAGACAGGCUUGCAGAAGUAACUAGACGUCCGACACACGCCAAAGUCUUGCGGGCCCAGGAUUUCAAACAAAAGAAAACUCGGGCACUUGAGUUUUCGGAUGAGGAAACUGGUGGUGGGCGAGCACUGUCCUGUGUUCUGCUUCUCAUUUCCACGUGGCCCAGGCAGCAGGCAGAAGAAGGAGAAGGAACGUUAAUCCGACUGCAGUGACUCCAGCACACAAGCCAUGGUCUGCUUCUGGGAAAAGGGGAGAAGACUAAAGUGUUUUGAGAAACAAAAUGAUAGAUGCGCACACAUAAUGUGGUGUAGGUAGCUGAACUUCAUCAGGAGCCUCGAGUAGCCAAGCAAACAUUCUUCUGACCCAACCUCAGAGUCUUUUUUCACUCCCUGCUCCAAAACAUUAACAUGUAAUUAGUACCCAAAAUGCUUUCCUUAACUAACACUCAUUGGAACCUAUGGAAAGGAUAUAACAUUUCUUUGAAAUUCUAGAUGGGAGUUAAGGACUACCUGACUCCUAUUGCCUUCACCUCUUAAUCAUACAUAACUGUCUUCCUAAUUUACCAGCCUCCUUCCCUAUAAAAACCCCUCAGCAUACCUCUUACUUUUUCUCUACCCCUUACUCUUUUUCCCUCUGGGGCCCUGAGCCAGAUUCUCAGAAUUAAAUCAUGAUCUUCUCCCAAAUGCCAUAACAAGUUAGAAGGGGAGUUUGGGGAUUGCAAUGAAAAUACAUGAUAUAGAAAGUAAAUUUUAUAGUUGAAUGCAGUUGACAAGUGGCAGUCUGGGGUAUCAGCAAUGAAUUCCCCAUUUUUCUACAGGCCUCUUUUUACUUCAUUUUUAGAAUCCACUGAUCCUAAUAAAAACAAGUUAAAACUGAACUAAAUUAGAGAAAUAUUAAAGAAAGACCAGGUUAAGCCCUUUCUGGACUGGCAGCGAUCAAGUCUUACAUAGCUCAUGGUUAUUUGGAUAGACUUUCAUACCACUGGAAGCUUAGACUAACACCAAAAGCCCUGCUUCUCAGUAUUUAAUUAUAAACCUGGCAGAGUGUGACUCUGUACCAAUUAAAAGAAAAUCAAUCAGUGCCUGUUAGCCAUAACAAAUCAAUAAAAACAAUUAGCCGGAGAAAUAAUAUUAACAACAUACCCUUGUUACCAAAGUUUCUGAGAAUUUUGAAGCUUCCUACAGCACAUAUUAUCAUAUUGUUUCACUACCUGAUUUUGUGGAACUUCUGCUUGUGUGAUACCUAAAGCUGUUUCCUGGAAGUGUAACUUGAAUGAGUUUUACAAUCAUUUUAUACCAUAGCUCCAGAAUAACUCUGUCUUCAAGGCUCUGAAUAGGUCUACUGGUAUGGGCUUUUAAUAUCCUUUCUGCCAGUGAGGAGGCCACAGGUUGUAGUGGAGAACUUACUAGACUAGAAGUGCUGAGCAAGCUUUAAGUUCCAGUUGAGGCAUGUAACUAACAAUGUGUAAGGAAGGAAGUUUAUGUUCCUGGCUUCAUAUUUUGCAUACGUAAAGGAAAGAGAUAGGACCAGAUAAUCUCUUAAAUCCCUCCCAAUCCCUCAAUUCUGUAGUUCUAUAACAAACUGGUGAAUUUUCAACAUAAGAGAAGACCCAGGUCUAUGGAUCUUCUAAAUAUCUAUUUCAUUGUCCUUUUAGUAGAAAUUUAUGCAGAAAGCUGACAAAUGAUUUUUGGUCUUUUCCUGGGAGAGAUCCUAACUUUGACUUGAGGGAACCAAACUAAGAGACUUGGCACUCUUUUCUUACAUACAAAUGAACCAGUGUCUUAUGCUUCAACUUCUUUUCCUUUUCAGAUCCAACUUAGAAAUAAUGUUUCACUCAAGAUAAGGUUUGUAGUUUAGGAGAUUCUGGUCUGGCUUGCCUCACUUUAAGACUUCUAUCAUCUCUUUUCAAAACCUGAGGAGGACCUCAUUUCCUGUUUGAUAGUUCUUCAUGCUUUGCCAGCCUCCGGGUCUUUAAGGAAGCUUGCCAAGAGCUCUCGUCUGGGGAGGACAGUCUGAGUUCAUCAUAGAGAAUGAGCUGGCACCACAGUUGUAGUGACUCACCAACCUCAUUGCCCCCUUUGCAAUGGCAAGAACCACACUAUCUAAUUGAAAGACCUGUGUUUUAGCAAAGUGCAAUUGGAUCACAUGGCAAAAUCAUCUCAAAAUACAUCUCCAGUCUUUCCUUUCACUGGAUGUUUUAACACAAGACAAGAAAGGAAGUUAUAUUCUGAAUUAUAUUUUCGGUUCUUUUUUUUUUUAAAUUAAGAUUAAUUAACAGAUACUUGGUUUUAUGUCCAUUCUGUUCUAAGAAUUUAGUGGUGAUUACAAAGCAAUGAAAAUAGGUCACAGCAAAAUGAACAUUCAAGAUUAGGUUAAAACAUUCCUCUGAAAUUUCAGUAUUCAUUUCUGGAGUGUCAGUUACUACAUUUCUGUAAUUCAUCAUUUUUUCUUUCUUGGCUUAGAGUCAAGAUGAGAAAUGAUAUUUAGACCAAAGACAUUGUUUUGUUACGUACUCACCGCUUUUUAAAAUGCAAACCCACCCUCUCCUCACCAAUGCUUAAUCAUUUGUGUGUGCUUAUGUUCACACACAGACACACCCACACAUGCAGAGUUGCUGGAGGAAGUCCUUUCAAGACUUCCAGGACCUGGAUCAUGUAAGAGGCAGAUGAGAAAAUUAAAGGAGGGCCAGAGAAAUAGCAACACUAAGAGUCCAUUAUUUCACUUUACAAAAAGUCAUUAAACAGUACACAGGCAUUUUUUUUUAAAGCAAGUAUUAUUAUAAUUAAAUAAUAUCAUACUUCUAAAUUAUUAUGAUUCUUAUCUAAUUUCAAGUCACAUAUAGGAGCCAUUUAAAAGUAUUUUGCAUUACAAUCUGUCACCAAAAAUCAACUAGUAGAGUUUUAUAAUGUGCAUAGGUUUACCCCAUGGGGAAUUAAAUUUUAAUUCAUGAGUCUUUCCAUUGUUGUGGAACUUUAGGACAAGAUAGCAUUUGGUAUUAACAUAGAAAAAUAUUCUAUGGCUUUUUUUUCACUUUAAAUUGCUCUGAAAGAAACUGCACCUUGAUUUUUUUCCUCCUAGUAUUCUUUUGUUAUGUUAGAGUAUUUUCACGACAUUGUUUUUAAUGUAAACAUUAUUUUAUUAAGUCAUUUGGUAAAAAAUUUUUUAAACUAUAUAAUAAUGGCCCCUUGUUUUUCUCCUUUUAUUAUUUCAAGCAAAAAUGGACACUUUUCUCUCAGGAAAAAAAGUAUCGAGUAUGUUUUUGACCCAAAAAUGAUUAUUUAGUUACAGUAUUUUUCCCCUACUAAAUUAGCAUUUAUGGUAGAUCUUAUUUCAAAGCUGAUUAUUCUCAAAGAAAAGCAGAGAGGUAUCAGAAUUUCCAAGUAAAUUAGGUUGUUUAAGACGUAUUUUAAUACAUUAUUCAAAUUGUUGUCAGAUACUGGUUUAAAAAAAAAAAAAAAAAGCAGUAUCUGUUCCAAAUGUGAAUUUGGUUUUUGAAAGACCUUACAAAUUCCAAUUUCUUUAGGACAGCAGAGGAGAUUAAAGUCAUAGACAAUUUAGAGCUACUUCAGUUUUUUUUUUUUUUUUAACUUUAACUGUGAUAGGCAUUUCUGCAAGGUAGGUUUUAACAUAUUUUUUUCCUAAUUUUUUUUUUCCCUCCUUUCAGUAAGAAGGAUAAGCUUUUAGAGUACCCAGUCACCGUGGUAACUGCCAAAAAAAUUCUCCUGAAGUUUGAAGAGGUCAGCUAGCAGGGUCAACAACUCUGGCCUCUCUCUGAGCUCGGUCUAGCAUGCCCCAGCCUGCAGUUGGAGUGUCAGGCCAGAUCUGACCCUGGGAGGUGGACUAUUCCGGCUCUGAUAUAAAUUUUUUGAGUCAGUUCAUGGCCUGGACUCUCCAGGUGGCCUCCAAAAUCGAUUUUGACCCCCUGACCCUGUCUCAUGGAGGCAUAGCCUCCACCCUAAGUAAGAAUUUAGCCAGGAGUGACAGCUUUCCACUGAGUGUUAUUGGGGACAGUAUAAACAGUUUGGAAAGCAAGUAAGGAGGUGUGAGUGCUAGAAAUCAUUAAAAGCACAUUAAAAAACAAUUAAAAUUUUUUUCUUUGCUUAAAAAGAAGUUUAAAAUGUGUAUUUGUUAUAUAAUUCCUAUGUGAUUUGUAAGAUUUUUUAAAUCAAAGAAGAGGUUUGAAUAUAAAUACUCAAGAAACCACACAUCUUCAUCCUUUUAUAUAGUUUGUUACAAAUAUGCAAGUAAGAUAGCCUGACUUGCAACAAAAUAGGUACAGCAGGGAUGUUACAAGUAGGGAAAAGGGAAGCUAGUUGUUAAAAUACAUUAAUAGAUAAAGAAUUUCAAGUAUUUUAUUUUUUUCAAGUAUUUUAAAUAUUACAUUUCAUGUGCUUGUGUCUUGAACUGUUUACAAUGUGAAAAUAUGGAAUCUUAAAAAGAAAUAACCACCACCUGAAUGAAGAUAAACUUGCGCUUCACUUUAAGUGCCUUGCUACUUUGUAAAACAAAUAGCCAAUACAUUCAUUUGGAUAUAAAUGAGAUAAAAAUUAUCAGUAGGGAAAGACAGAUCUUAUAGAGCUAAAGAGGAGAAAACAAUAAAUUAGUAGUGUCUCUGAAUUAACUUUAAGUGUUUUCAAUAGUUUAAGAUAUCAGAAGCUUGGAAAAUAAUGUUUGUAAAUCAUCAGUGAUUCUUUUUCCUUCUUCUUCUUCUUUUUUUUUCCCCCAGGAUGCCACCCUGAAAGUUUUAUUUUCUCCAGGAAAGUAGAGUUCUCUCUGAGAGCUCUAGCCUGUAAACUCAGUAUGUAAAUGUGGUCAUCAAGCAAGACGGAACUGCGAAUAGGGAAGAUUUUGAAUGUUUCUCUUUCUUAAAAUCCUUCACAAUAUUCCUUCUUCCACUGGUACUUUGCUCAAAGUUUCCCCCAUUUCCCAGCUCUGAUGAAAUGCCUCUAAAGCAGCCCUGCAGUAGCUAAACUGAUUGUACUGUGAAGUUGUUGAGAUGGCAUUUCAUCCAAAUCCUUUGUAAAAAUUAGAUUUUAAGUAGGGGUGAAUGUCUUUUUGGGGAGAGGGGACAAGGGAGAGUGGAAGAAGAGGGGGAAGGGACUGAGCAGUUUAUACACAUAUAUACUCUUUGUGUUUGAAGGCCUCUGUGUCUUGGCUUCUCACUAUGUUAAAUCCCUAUUAUAAAACUUAUCUUCACAAAGCCUAUUAUAGUAUUCUGAGAACAAAUUGGACCAUGAAUAACUUAGUUGGAAGUGCAGAUUAUUUUCUACUCAGGGAAAGUUAGAGAUGACAACAGCUUAGCUAAAAGAAUAGUGAUUAAUCUUAAAUAGAUGGAUUUCAAAGUUUCACUCUUGAUGAAGAAUACCUUUUAUAUUUCCCCUCUUCAGACUCAUGUUUCCACUUUCUUUGUAUUAAGAAUUGUCCUAGUGAUUACAUUGUCCACCUAAUACAGCAUGGCUCUAACUGUAGAUCCUUUUCUUACAGGUUGUUAAUCUGUCUGAGAGGUGACCAGAAAGACACUCUACUUCCUAUUGGUUAAAUGUAUGUUUUCGAAGUGGUACCCAUGCUUAGACAUCAAACUCACUGUUAGGAAUAUUUGCAUAAAUCAUAAUUUCUCAACUAGAUAAAAUUAUUACUUCAAAACAUCUUAGGGGCUUCCCUGGUGGCGCAGUGGUUGAGAGUCCACCUGCCGAUGCAGGGGACACAGGUUCGUGCCCCGGUCCGGGAAGAUCCCACAUGCCGCGGAGAGUCUGGGCCCAUGAGCCAUGGCCGCUGAGCCUGCGUGUCCGGAGCCUGUGCCCCGCAACGGGAGAGGCCACAACAGUGAGAGGCCCGCGUACCGCAAAAAAAAAAAAAAAAAACUUAAAUUUGUUUAAUGCCCUAUAGCUUACAAAGCACUUCUCGGUUCAUAAUUUUGUUUGAUCCUUAGAAUAAUGUUAUGAAAUAAAUAUCAUUAAUGCCAUUUUACCAAGGAAGAAGCUGAGUCAUUGGCAUACUGUGAUCCAGCUGAUAGAUGGAAGAACUGGGAUACUAACUCAGAUUUUAUAGUUUCUCUUUCAAGUGAUUAAACUAUAGCAAUAGGUUUUUAAAUUUUUUAUGUGUUCUAUAUCCCUGAAAAAUCAAGAUUUUGUAUUAAAGAGCAAAGUUUUUGUAUUUCGCAAAAAAGUUAAAAGACACUAUUUAAAAAAUUCUAUUCAUUUAGAGGUGAAUUUUGCUAAUUAUUGUUUUCCUUUGUUUGUGUGUGUCUAUCUGUCUAUCUAUCUAUCAAUCAAUGGUCUUUCAGAGUUAAUCUCUAAAAGUCAAACAGGGGCAGCCCUCUAUAAAUUAAAUAACUACCUGGAAUUUUUUAAAUGUACAUGAAAACCAUGAAUAAUACUAUAGGUGAGGUUUCCCUUCUAGUGGUUUUUGUUUUUGUUUUGUUUUUUAGCUCUAUUGAGUUAUAAGUGACAAAUAAAAUUGUAAGAUAUUUAAAAUGUACAUCAUGAUGAUUUGAUACAAGCAUACAUUGCGAAAGGAUUCCUCCCAUCUAGUUAACACAUGCAUCACCUAUGUAUUUAUCUUUUUUUUUUUGAGGAAAACAUUUAAGUUCUACUCUCUUAACAAACUUCAAUUAUUCAAUAGUCUUAUCAACUAUAGUCACCAUGUUAUACAUUAAAUUUACAGACCUUUUUCAUCUUAUAGCUGAAAGUUUGUACCCUUUUAUCAACCUCUCUCUAAUUCCCUCACUCCCCAGCUCUGCCUUCUAGUGUUGAUAGACUGGUAUCUUUUGAUAUCUUAGCAAGUCUGGAUAAACAAAGUUGUGAAGGGCUACUUCUUGUUUCUCUUGGAUUUUUACUUUCCAUGUUUAAGAAAAGUUUACAAACUACUCUAGGAAUGAUAAAUAAAAGGUUUAGUUAACCUGAUAUUGAUGUAACCUAUCUAAACAUAUAGGAAUCAAGAAAUACAAAAGGAUUACACCAUGUGAUUCUAAUUAGGUUUUUAAUUAUAUUGUCUUAAUUAUGUAAUGUAGGUGUGUGGAUGUUAAUAUGGAAAUUUUUUUUUUUAUUUCUUAAAUUGUAUAUACCUAACUUAGUCAUUUUAUGUAUACUUAAAUCAAGGUCUUUGCCCCUGAAUUUUGCUAGCAGCCAGACAAAUCCUGUCAAACUUUUUAGGAUUAGAAAAAAAUGAAAUAGUGUCCAGAAAAGGAAAAGCAACAGUUCUGGUUGAAUGCUGCAUAUUGUGUAUCAAUAAUGACAUACAUAUACUGUAACCUUUUUUGUGCCAAGGUUUUUCAAUUAAAACAUGACAUUAGACUGAGAA